UACAGAGGUCUCAAGCGUUGUUCGGAUUCAUUGGGCGUAAAGGGCGCGUAGGCGGUCAGCACAAGUCAGUUGUGAAAUCUCCGGGCUUAACUCGGAAAGGUCAACUGAUACUGUGCGACUAGAGUGCAGAAGGGGCAACUGGAAUUCUCGGUGUAGCGGUGAAAUGCGUAGAUAUCGAGAGGAACACCUGCGGCGAAGGCGGGUUGCUGGGCUGACACUGACGCUGAUGCGCGAAAGCCAGGGGAGCGAAGCGGG
rnacentral:rRNA from 1 species